CCUACGGGACGCAGCAGUGGGGAAUAUUGCACAAUGGGGGAAACCCUGAUGCAGCGACGCCGCGUGAGUGAAGAAGUAUUUCGGUACGUAAAGCUCUAUCAGCGGGGAAGAAAAUGACGGUACCUGACUAAGAAGCCCCGGCUAACUACGUGCCAGCAGCCGCGGUAAUACGUAGGGGGCAAGCGUUAUCCGGAUUUACUGGGUGUAAAGGGAGCGUAGGCGGCCUGCUAAGUCUGGAGUGAAAGGUACCGGCUCAACCGGUACAGGCUCUGGAAACUGGCGGGCUAGAGAGCAGGAGGGGGCGG
rnacentral:rRNA from 1 species